CAUCCUGGGGGCCAGUCCACUCCCUGCCCUCUCCAGUGCCCGACCCCUCAGUCCUAUGACCCUUACUUCCUGCCUUGGAUUCUCCUGCCUUGUGUCUCUCUGCUCACUGGUUCCAUCUCAUCACUCUGCUGCUAUUUCUGUCAUAACAAAGCGCCACUGAGGAAGAGCUCUGACUCACAGCAGAGGGGAAGCAGGACCAGCCGACAUGAUCAGGACAAAACUGAGGUCAACUAUGUACCUGUAAAGACAGAAUUACUGUAAAAAACAACAACAGGGGAGAACAUUAUAGUGUUUAUUUUUUAAAUCACACACCAGCC